UACGAAGGGAGCUAGCGUUGUUCGGAAUCACUGGGCGUAAAGCGCACGUAGGCGGAUGUGUCAGUCAGGGGUGAAAUCCCGGAGCUCAACUUCAGAACUGCCUCUGAUACAGCACGUCUUGAGUCCGGAAGAGGUGGGUGGAAUUCCUAGUGUAGAGGUGAAAUUCGUAGAUAUUAGGAAGAACACCGGUGGCGAAGGCGGCCCACUGGUCCGGUACUGACGCUGAGGUGCGAAAGCGUGGGGAGCAAACAGG
rnacentral:rRNA from 1 species